GACGAACGCUGGCGGCGUGCUUAACACAUGCAAGUCGAACGGAAAGGCCCUGCUUUUGUGGGGUGCUCGAGUGGCGAACGGGUGAGUAACACGUGAGUAACCUGCCCUUGACUUUGGGAUAACUUCAGGAAACUGGGGCUAAUACCGGAUAGGAGCUCCUGCUGCAUGGUGGGGGUUGGAAAGUUUCGGCGGUUGGGGAUGGACUCGCGGCUUAUCAGCUUGUUGGUGGGGUAGUGGCUUACCAAGGCUUUGACGGGUAGCCGGCCUGAGAGGGUGACCGACCAAAUUGGGACUGAGAUACGGCCCAGACUCCUACGGGAGGCAGCAGUGGGGAAUAUUGCACAAUGGGCGGAAGCCUGAUGCAGCAACGCCGCGUGCGGGAUGACGGCCUUCGGGUUGUAAACCGCUUUCGCCUGUGACGAAGCGUGAGUGACGGUAAUGGGUAAAGAAGCACCGGCUAACUACGUG
rnacentral:rRNA from 1 species